rnacentral:rRNA from 1 species
AUGGCGCUCGCAUCGGGCUCCGGCAGCGGCGGCGGGAGCGACUUCUCCGUGAUGGUGAUAGGGUCCGACUUCGCGGUGGACGCCGGCGCGGCGCUCCUCGCCUCUCCCGCCGACCGCGAGGAGUGGCACGACUGCGCCCCCGACCUCGGCGACGACUUCUCCGACCUCGAGGAGCUCCAGGUGGUCCGCGUGCAGGGCGCGGACAGAUCCGGCCGGCCCGUCGUCCGGGUCGUUGGCAAGUUCUUCCCCGCUCCUGUUAUAGAUGGUGGACGUCUCAAGAGGUAUGUGUUUCACAAGCUCCGCACCGAGUUGCCAGAGGGUCCAUUCUGCAUCCUGUACGUGCACACCACUGUACAAUCAGAUGAUAACAAUCCUGGAAUGACAAUCUUGAGGGGGAUUUAUGAAGAACUUCCAGCCGAGUACAAGGAAAGGCUGCAAAUAUUCUACUUCCUGCAUCCCGGGCUUUAUUCCUGGCUCGCCAUGGCCACACUAGGCAGGCUCUUCUUAAGCGGAGGGUUGUAUUGGAAAAUCAAGUAUGUUAGUAGGCUGGAGUAUCUAUGGGGGGACAUAAAAAAGGGCGAGGUUGAGAUUCCAGAUUUUGUAACUGAACAUGACAAGAUCCUUGAGCACCGACCAUUGACAGACUAUGGUAUAGAACCUGAUCCUCUGCAUCUUGCUGAUAUACCUGCUGCAGGAUACUCACUUGGUAGGUAUGAAGACAAAUGGUCUCCUGAAGAUCGUUGGCAUUCACGCAAUUACAUGUGA